rnacentral:rRNA from 1 species
GGCGCAAGCSUGAUGCAGCCMUGCCGCGUSUGUGAAGAAGGCCUUAGGGUUGUAAAGCACUUUCAGUCGUGAGGAAAGGUGUGUGCUUAAUACGUACAUACUGUGACSUKAGCGACAGAAGAAGGACCGGCUAACUCCGUGCCAGCAGCCGCGGUAAUACGGAGGGUSCGAGCGUUAAUUGGAAUUACUGGGCGUAAAGCGCGCGUAGGUGGAUUGGUCAGUCAGAUGUGAAAKCCCAGGGCUCAACCUUGGAACUGCAUCUGAUACUGCUCGUUUAGAAUACAGUAGAGGGUAGUGGAAUUUCCUGUGUAGCGGUGAAAUGUGUAGAUAUAGGAAGGAACACCAGUGGCGAAGGCGACUACCUGGAYUGAUAUUGACASUGAGGUGMGAAAGCGUGGGGAGCAAACAGGAUUAGAUACCCUGGUAGUCCACGCCGUAAAMGAUGUAUACUAGCCGUGGAASACUUGAUCUUUUAGUGGCGMAGCUAAC